GAUGAAGAACGUAGCGAAAUGCGAUAAGUAAUGUGAAUUGCAGAAUUCAGUGAAUCAUCGAAUCUUUGAACGCACAUUGCGCCCCUUGGUAUUCCGAUGGGCAUGCCUGUUCGAGCGUCAUUAUAACCCCUCAAGCUCAGCUUGGUGUUGGGGCCUGCCGCACGGGCAGCCCUUAAAAUCAGUGGCGGUGCCAUCUGGCUCUAAGCGUAGUAAUUCUUCUCGCUAUAGAGUCCCGGUGGAUGCUUGCCAUUAACCCCCAAUUUUCUAUGGUUGACCUCGGAUCAGGUAGGGAUACCCGCUGAACUUAAGCAUAUCAAUAAGCGGAGGA
rnacentral:misc_RNA from 1 species